rnacentral:rRNA from 1 species
AGUGAACGCUGGCGGUAGGCCUAACACAUGCAAGUCGAACGGCAGCACAGUAAGAGCUUGCUCUUACGGGUGGCGAGUGGCGGACGGGUGAGGAAUACAUCGGAAUCUACUUUUUCGUGGGGGAUAACGUAGGGAAACUUACGCUAAUACCGCAUACGACCUACGGGUGAAAGCAGGGGAUCCUCGGACCUUGCGCGAUUGAAUGAGCCGAUGUCGGAUUAGCUAGUUGGCGGGGUAAAGGCCCACCAAGGCGACGAUCCGUAGCUGGUCUGAGAGGAUGAUCAGCCACACUGGAACUGAGACACGGUCCAGACUCCUACGGGAGGCAGCAGUGGGGAAUAUUGGACAAUGGGCGCAAGCCUGAUCCAGCCACACCGCGUGGGUGAAGAAGGCCUUCGGGUUGUAAAGCCCUUUUGUUGGGAAAGAAAAGCAGCAGGUUAAUACCCCGCUGUUCUGACGGUACCCAAAGAAUAAGCACCGGCUAACUUCGUG